UACAGAGGGUGCAAGCGUUGUUCGGAUUCAUUGGGCGUAAAGGGUGCGUAGGUGGCGGGGUAAGUCAGGUGUGAAAUUUCGGAGCUUAACUCCGAAACUGCAUUUGAUACUGCCUUGCUUGAGGACUGGAGAGGAGACUGGAAUUCACGGUGUAGCAGUGAAAUGCGUAGAUAUCGUGAGGAAGACCAGUGGCGAAGGCGGGUCUCUGGACAGUUCCUGACACUGAGGCACGAAGGCCAGGGGAGCAAACGGG
rnacentral:rRNA from 1 species